rnacentral:misc_RNA from 1 species
UCAUUUAGAGGAAGGAGAAGUCGUAACAAGGUUUCCGUAGGUGAACCUGCGGAAGGAUCAUUGUCGAAACCCGCAAAGCAGACCCGUGAACAUGUUUAAAUACGCUUGCGUUCGCGGUGUUGGAUGCCUCUGUGUCCAGCAUCACGACCUCGACCACCCCAUGUGGCGCAAGUCGCCUGGGCGUGCUAACCACUCGGCGCGGAAAGCGCCAAGGAAAACCAUACCGAACGCCUCUCCGUCCUGGUGCCGUGCGCUGUGCCAAGGACGUGAUGAGCAGCGUCUAUCGAAUAAAUAUAACGACUCUCGGCAACGGAUAUCUCGGCUCUCGCAUCGAUGAAGAACGUAGCGAAAUGCGAUACUUGGUGUGAAUUGCAGAAUCCCGUGAACCAUCGAGUCUUUGAACGCAAGUUGCGCCCGAAGCCAUCUGGCCGAGGGCACGUCUGCCUGGGCGUCACGCGUCUCUUCGCACCCCGCCCAACACAUCUUCUUCCCCACUCAAAAGUGUCGGGAGGCGAUGCAUAAGAAGCGGGGCGCGGAUAUUGGCCUCCCGUUAUCCCUUGGGUAGCGGCCGGCCCAAAUAGUAUACCGUGUCGAUGGAUGUCACAUGAUACGUGGUGGUUGGAUUCUUCAACUUGCGAGCUUAUCAUGUGGGACUGCACCGAGCCACGGGCACGACCCAAUGGCACGAGAUUGCCCUCGAUUGCGACCCCAGGUCAGGCGGGAUCACCCGCUGAGUUUAAGCAUA